rnacentral:rRNA from 1 species
GGACAGAAAGACCCUAUGAAGCUUGACUGUAGCUUAAAAUUGAAUUUGAGUUUUUUUCGCGCAGUCUAAGUGGGAGACUAUGAAAAAAUUUUUUUGGAAAUUUGGGAGUCACAAUAUGAGAGACCACUCUUGAAAAACUGAAAUUCUAAUAAUACAUUCUUUUAUCAGAAUAUUAAACAGUUUUAGGUAGGCAGUUUUUUUGGGGCGAAAACCUCCCAAAAAGUAACGGAGGUGUGCAAAGGUUUCUUCAAACUGGAUGGAAAUCAGUUUUAGAGUACAAAGAUAAAAAGAAGCUUAACUGCAAGACAGACACGUCAAACAGAGGCGAAAGCCGGUCUUAGUGAUCCGACGGUUCUAAGUGGAAAGGCCGUCGCUCAACGGAUAAAAGUUACUCUAGGGAUAACAGGCUGA